CUUAUCCCCUAUAUUGUUUCUUGCAGAUAGAUCAUAUUCCUCUAAAUGAAUUGGACUGGUCCCAAACCAGUUUACAGUUUGGAACUGAGACAAACUCCAUAAAGACUGUUACUCGCCAGUUCGUCUUGUUUCUCCACGCCACUGAUCCUCAUCCCUUCUCCCUGGUUUCCUCAUGGUCUCUCCAUGUCUCUUGUUUGGAUUUAUGUCCCUUGUACUUUUUGUUGUAAAUUUGAUUUUUAAUUAAAUCUACAACAGAA